CAAGGGUGGAUAGUUAUUCUAAGAUUCUGGUCACUUGUGCUAUUGAGAAAAAUUCAUUGAGCUAAAGCAAAAAUUAUUUUGUUUGCUGAAGGUGUUGUUGCAUCUUUGAUAUGGAUAGAUGUUAAUGAAGAAAUCUGUAAAUUUGGACUUGCAUGUGAUGAAGCAUCAACCUAAGCAAUGAUCUGAUGUGUCAAAGAGAGUGAAAAAAAAAAAAUCCUUUCUCAGCAAGGAAGAUUGGCCUCUUCACUGGAAGACCUUUGUCAGUGGCAUAUGCAUUUCAGAGGACUUCCACCUUCUUUGUACAAGCUUGGUGAAAUACAUCAGUAAGUGACAUGAUUUUCACAUAAAAGUCAAAUUAUUAUGUAGUCAGAAGUAAUUAAAUAUAUGAAUUCACAACUCAGUUUAAACAAAU
rnacentral:lncRNA from 1 species